CCCCUGAGUUGGUGAUGGACAGGGAGGCCUGUCGCGCUGCAGUUCAUGGGGUCUCAAAGAGUUGGAUACAACUGAGCGAAUGAACUGAACUGAACUGAAGUUGGUCAUAGCUUUUCUUCCAAGGAGCAAGUGUCUUUUAAUUCCAUGGCUACGGUCACCAUCUGCAGUGAUUUUGGAUCCCCCAAAAAUAAAGUCUGACAGUGUUUCUAUUGUUUUCCCAUCUGUUUGCCAUGAAGUGAUGGGACCAGAUGCCAUGAUUUUAGUUUUCUGAAUGUUGAGUUUUAAGCCAACUUUUUCACUCUCCUCUUUCACUUUCAUCAGGAGGCUCUUUAAUUCUUCUUCACUUUCUGUCAUAAGGAUGGGGUCAUCUGCAUAUCUGAGGUUAUUGAUAUUUCUCCUGGCAAUCUUGAUUCCAGCUUGUGCUUCAUCCAGCCCAGCAUUUCUCAUGAUGUACUCUGCAUAUAAGCUAAAUAAGCAGGGUGACAAUAUACAACCUUGAGGCACUCCUUUCCCAAUUUCGAACCAGUCUGUUGUUCCAUAUCCUGUUCUAACUGUCGCUUCUUGACCUGCCUACAGAUUUCUCAGGAGGCAGGUCAGGUGUUCUGGUAUUCCCAACUGUUUAAACUUUCCACAGUUUGUUGUGAUCCACAACGUGUAUAGGUGGCGGGGUGGGGUGGGGGGGAGCGGGGGUGGUAGUAAAUAAAAGACCAUAUGGAAAGGCAGGAAGAAGAUGAGCUGGGAUACGUUGCCGCAGGAGGUAGCCCAGAGGAUGGCAGAAUCAGGCCCGAAAGGCUCCUCCCAGAAGCCCAUUCCCCAGCAGAAGCCAAGUCUCACAGGAUCUCGCGGGUUUGUAAGAGGUUGGCAAGAGGUUCCUGAAAGGGGAAACACCUGGGUGCCUCACUCAGAAUGGAGUUUGGUUCCCAUCGUCUACCCGGCCAAAGCCGCUCCUGGGGCUGCCUCCCCUCUUGCCGUUCUUCGUGAGUCUGUCUGUGUGGCGGCCUGUUCGUCCCAGCUGCACCCUCAGCUCUUAAGGACCCAGCUCAGGCCUGUGGCUGUGCAGGGGCUGGAGCACCCAAGGCCCGAGUGGGAGAGGGAACUGCUCGUGCUUGUGCUGCAAGUGCAUCAAGUUCUGAGAGGCCGAGGGGCCACGCCAGGAACCCAAGCUUCUGCUGUGGGCCACUGGGGCCCCAUCUAACGUCUGCAAGGUGCAGGACUGCACCAGGUCCAGGUGCGAGCCCUGCCAUCGCACCGAGCUUGUUUGUUUCUCUGCGCUGCGCCCGGAAGCAGUGAGGGGCCUAGGAGUCCUCCCCGGAGACCACGACCACCUGUUCCCAGAGACUUUCCCGGAAGAACAGCCUCAGAUCUAGUGAGGAGGUAACCUGAGACCUGGCCGCCAAGAAGAACCAACAUUCAUCACAGCCACUGUGACCCAUUACUUGGAGCUGAACUCAUGAUUUUUCAGUUGUUCUAGUUUCUGACAUCACAUGAUCUUCCGACAUUGAUAUUUCCUGUAAUAGCGUGAAUAUUUCAGAAGUUUUAUGAUAGCAUUAUCUAUAAACUGUAGAAAAGGAUCAAUGGGAUUUUAUGUUUCGACUUCAUAACUGGGUGCAGGCUUUCUCUAGUUGUGGUGAGCAAGAGCUAUUCUCUAGUCACGGUGAGGGGGCUUCUCAUUGCAAUGGUUUCUCUUGCUGCAGAGCAUGGUCUUUAGAGCACGUGGGUUCACUAGCUGCAAAGCCCAGCAGCAUGUGAAAUCUUCCUGGACCCAUGAUCGAACCCAUGUCCCCUGCACUGUCAGGCAGGUUCUUAGCCACUGGACCAGGGAAGUCCUCCGAUUUUUCUUAAAAUGUUACUUUUGUAUCAUGAUACUUCCUCAGAUUACUUUAAGCCUAAUCUUAUAAUUUUCUUCUGUUUAAUGCUAAAGCAGAAUAAAGUUCAAUAGGUUCUGCCUUCACUGUGAAAGUUGGAAUUACAUGUUUAGAUUUUCGGUUCCUUAACUACUCUUUCUUAAUCUGUCAGUUAUUGAGAAGUUAUUUGUUAAGUUUAAUUCCUCCUAGUAAUUCCUACUUUUGCUAUGCAUAUCUUAAGGCAAUGUUAUUCAAGCACAUACAAAUUCAGAAUUGUUAUAACUUUGGGAUUAGGUGUUAACCAGUUUAUCCUUUAUUUAGUUGUUUAGUUGGGCUUUCCAGGUGGUACAGUGGUAAAGAAUCUGCCUGCUAAUUCAGGAGACACAGGAGAUCGGGUUUGAUCCCUGGAUCAGGAAUAUCCGCUGGAGGAGGAAAUGGCAACCCACUCCAGUAUUCUUGCCUGAAAAGUUCCAUGGACAGAGGGGCCUGGUG
ensembl:lncRNA